GGACUACCCGGGUAUCUAAUCCUGUUUGAUCCCCGCACUUUCGAGCCUCAGCGUCAGUUACAGUUUCGUUAGCUGCCUUCGCAAUCGGUGUUCUAUGACAUCUCUAUGUAUUUCACCACUACAUGUCAUAUUCCGCCAACGGCAACUGUACUCAAGCCCUACAGUAUCAAUGGCAAUUUCCGAGUUAAGCUCGGAGAUUUCACCACUGACUUAUAAGGCCGCCUACGCUCCCUUUAAACCCAAUGAAUCCGGAUAACGCUUGCAUCCUUCGUCUUACCGCGGCGGCUGGCAC
rnacentral:rRNA from 1 species